UGGGGGUUCCAGAGCCGCUUCAAAAGCUUCGGAUGCACUUUCCCUGGCUCUGCGUUGGGUUACGUAAAGCUUACAGGCAGGCUGGCUGGCAGGCAGAUUUUGGUUUCGAAAGUCUCGGCCGACUGCGUUUCGAGGUGAUCCAAUCUGGUACAAUCCAAACCGACUGAAAGACAUGUCGCUGCAUUUUGCGUACGCUUUUAAAGUUUGCAACGCGUGGCCAUAGAUACCUUCCUCCCCGUUUUAUUACAAGUUUUAUGCCGCUUUAUAACU